ACAAACUUGGUCAUUUAGAGGAAGUAAAAGUCGUAACAAGGUCUCCGUAGGUGAACCUGCGGAGGGAUCAUUACUGAGUGAGGGCUCACGCCCGACCUCCAACCCUUUGUGAACGUAACUUGUUGCUUCGGGGGCGACCCUGCCGUCAUCUGGCGACGGGCGCCCCCGGAGGCCUUCAAACACUGCAUCUCUGCGUCGGAGUCAAAAGUUAAUUAAACAAAACUUUCAACAACGGAUCUCUUGGUUCUGGCAUCGAUGAAGAACGCAGC
rnacentral:misc_RNA from 1 species